AGUGAACGCUGGCGGUAGGCCUAACACAUGCAAGUCGAACGGUAGCACAGUAAGAGCUUGCUCUUACGGGUGGCGAGUGGCGGACGGUUGAGGAAUACAGCGGAAUCUACUUUUUCGUUGGGGUUACGCAGGGGAACGUAUGCCUAUAACGGAUUCGACCUACGGGUUAAAGCGGUGGGUCUUCGGAACUUGCGGGUUUGGAGGAGGCGCUGUUGGAUUAGCUGGUUGGUGGGGUGAAGGUCCACCAAGGCGACGACCCGUAGGUGGCGGGAGAGGAGGAUCGGCGACACUGGAACUGAGACACGGUCCAGACGCCUACGGGAGGCAGCAGUGGGGAAGAUUGGACAAUGGGGGGAGGCCUGAUCCAGCAGUGCCGCGUGGGUGAGGAAGGCCUUCGGGUUGUAGAGACCUUUUGUUGGGAAAGAAGAGCAGCAGGUUAAUACCCCGCUGUUUUGACGGUACCCAAAGAAUAAGCACCGGCUAACUUCGUG
rnacentral:rRNA from 1 species